GACGAACGCUGGCGGCGUGCUUAACACAUGCAAGUCGAACGGAAAGGCCCUGCUUUUGUGGGGUGCUCGAGUGGCGAACGGGUGAGUAACACGUGAGUAACCUGCCCUUGACUUUGGGAUAACUUCAGGAAACUGGGGCUAAUACCGGAUAGGAGCUCCUGCUGCAUGGUGGGGGUUGGAAAGUUUCGGCGGUUGGGGAUGGACUCGCGGCUUAUCAGCUUGUUGGUGGGGUAGUGGCUUACCAAGGCUUUGACGGGUAGCCGGCCUGAGAGGGUGACCGGCCACAUUGGGACUGAGAUACGGCCCAGAAUCCUACGGGAGGCAGAAGUGGGGAAUAUUGCAGAAUGGGCGGAAGCCUGAUGCAGCAACGCCGCGUGCGGGAUGACGGCCUUCGGGUUGUAAACCGCUUUCGCAGGUGACGAAGCGUGAGUGACGGUAAUGGGUAAAGAAGCACCGGCUAACUACGUG
rnacentral:rRNA from 1 species